rnacentral:rRNA from 1 species
UACAGAGGUCUCAAGCGUUGUUCGGAUUCAUUGGGCGUAAAGGGUGCGUAGGCGGCGCUGCAAGUGCCUUGUGAAAUCCCAUCGCUUAACUAUGGAACUGCUCGGGAGACUGCAGUGCUUGAGGUUGGUAGGGGCUGCCGGAACUCUAGGUGGAGCGGUGAAAUGCGUAGAUAUCUAGAGGAACGCCCAAGGCGAAGGCAGGCAGCUGGGCCAAUUCUGACGCUGAGGCACGAAAGCGUGGGGAGCAAACGGG